rnacentral:rRNA from 1 species
AUUGAACGCUGGCGGCAGGCCUAACUCAUGAAAGUCGAACGAGUGGCGGACGGGAGAGUAAUGGCUAGGCAAAUGCCCGAUGGAGGGGGAUAACUACUGGAAACGGUAGCUAAUACCGCAUACCCUCGGCUGAGCCCAGAUGGGAUGAGCUGGUCGGGGGGGAAACGGCUCACCUGGGCGAAGCUCCCUAGCUGGUCUUAGAGGAUGAACAGCCAGACGGGAAGUGAGACACGGUCCAGACUCCUACGGGAGGGAGCAGUGGGGAAUAUUGCACAAUGGGCGCAAGCCUGAUGCAGCCAUGCCGCGUGUAUGAAGAAGGCCUUCGGGUUGUAAAGUACUUUCAGCGAGGAGGCGUUACUCGCAGAAGAAGCACCGGCUAACUCCGUGCCAGCAGCCGCGGUAAUAC